UAGGGAAUUUUGCACAAUGGGCGCAAGCCUGAUGCAGCAAUGCCGCGUGAGUGAAGAAGGCUCUUGGGUUGUAAAGCUCUUUCGGCUGGAAAGAAGGGAUAGGCUGCGAACAGUUGCCUAUUCUGACGGUACCAGAAGAAGAAGCCCCUGCUAACUUCGUGCCAGCAGCAGCGGUAAUACGAAGGGGGCAAGCGUUGUUCGGAAUUACUGGGCGUAAAGCGCGCGUAGGCGGGUCGGUAAGUCGAUUGUGAAAGCCCUGGGCUCAACCUAGGAAUUGCAGUUGAAACUGCCGAUCUUGAGUGCCUGAGAGGAUGGCGGAAUUGCCGGUGUAGUAGUGAAAUACGUAGAUAUCGGCAAGAACACCUGAGGCGAAGGCGGCUAUCUGGCGGUGCACUGACGCUAAGGCGCGAAAGCGUGGGGAGCAAACAG
rnacentral:rRNA from 1 species